rnacentral:rRNA from 1 species
UACGUAGGGUGCGAGCGUUGUCCGGAAUUAUUGGGCGUAAAGGGCUCGUAGGCGGUUUGUCGCGUCGGGAGUGAAAACUCAGGGCUUAACCCUGAGCCUGCUUCCGAUACGGGCAGACUAGAGGUAUGCAGGGGAGAAUGGAAUUCCCGGUGUAGCGGUGAAAUGCGCAGAUAUCGGGAGGAACACCGGUGGCGAAGGCGGUUCUCUGGGCCUGUACUGACGCUGAGGAGCGAAAGCGUGGGGAGCGAACAGG